AUUCCUGACUAAAGGGUAUGUAAUGGACUACCAAGGCUAUGACGUCUAGGGGAGGUGAGAGCCUGACCCCCACCGAUGGUACUGAGAUACGGACCAUACACCUACGGGUGGCCGCAGUCGAGAAUCUUCCGCAAUGGACGAAAGUCUGACGGAGCGACGUCGCGUGAUUGAUGAAGUCUUUAGGGAUGUAAAGAUCUUUUAUGAGGGAGGAAAUUAUUGACGUUACCUCAUGAAUAAGGGGUUGCUAAACUCGUGCCAGCAGCAGCGGUAAUACGAGUGCCCCGAGCGUUACCCGGAAUUAUUGGGCGUAAAGCGUCUGUAGGUGGUUUUGUUAGUCAGAUGUUAAAGAUCCCGGCUCAACUGGGAAAAAGCAUUUGAAACGGCAAGACUAGAGGAUAUGAGGGGUGUGCGGAACUCACGGUGUAGGGGUGAAAUCCGUUGAUAUCGUGGGGAACACCAAAAGCGAAGGCAGCACACUGGCAUAUUCCUGACACUGAGAGACUAAAGCGUGGGUCGCGAAGGGGAUUAGAUACCCCCGUAGUCCACGCCCUAAACGAUCCAAACUGGCUUUUCGGAGUAUCGACCCUCUGGGAGGCGAAGCUAACGCGUUAAGUUUGGCGCCUGGGUAGUACGGCCGCAAGGCUAAAACUCAAAGGAAUAGACGGGGACUUGCACAAGCGGUGGAUCAUGUGGCUUAAUUCGAUAAUAAACGAAGAACCUCACCAGGACUAGAAACUUAUAUGAAAGAUUAUAGAAAUAUAAUCCCUCUUCGGACAUAUAAGCAGGUGAUGCAUGGCCGUCGUCAGCUCGUGGUUUGAACUGUUCCGUUAAGUCGGGUAACGAGCGCAACCCUCAUCGUAUGUUACAAGUGUCAUACGAGUGUGCAGCCCAGGACAU
rnacentral:rRNA from 1 species